GCAGUGAGACUAGCGCAAUUUGUAGCAUGCAACAAGGCAAGCAAUGCCAGCCACACACCUCAGCAUGUGUUGAAAAUCCAUCUGGUCUCCUGAGAGAGCAAUCAGAUGCUUACUUCACAGCAUGGGCAACUCUAAUGCAUGUCGAGCUUAUCACCCAACAUGAACUGAAUUAAGGUAGAGCCUGGAAACCCCUGCUUCCCACACCAUUGUCAAUCUGAUGGAAAUGUGGUAAGCAUGACAAAUGUGGAUUGUGUUGAGUGCUGUGCUAGAGACAAGAUAAUCAUUAUUUAUUUAAUUUAUUUAUUACAUUUAUAUCCAACUUUUACUCCAGUGAACUCAAGAGGCCACAUCUGGCUCCCCCCCCCUUAUCCUCACAACAAUCCUAUGAGGUAGGCCACAGUAAGAGAAGAUGGCCAAACUUUUCUCAACAUGGUAUUAUCAAAAACUGCAUCUAAUCACCUGUAAUGGCCAGCCAGGUGGAAACAUAGUGAAACCAGACCUUGGAGCUUCCUUUGCAUGGCUCACUCAGAGUAGAAUUUCUCAGGCUGGCUGUUGCCCUGGUAGUCAAUUCAUUUCAAGUAUGUUCCAAUCCAUUUCACAGCAUGAUACUGCUAAGAAUAAAACACAAUACCAUAGUAAUGAAAUUGAAGCUUGAACUGUAGUCAAGCUGAAUAAUAUGUUAAAUGACUUUACCAGAGUCUCAAGACAAUGCCAGAUUUUGGAAAAAUUAUAUUAGUUAUAUCAAUUUAUAUAAAAUCAAUCAAUCAAUCAGUCAAUCAAUUAAUCAAUCAAUCAAAGUACAACACAAAGUUCAAAUUGAAACACUAUGUUUAUCUAGUGUCCCUGAUGUUCUGUUUUGUUGCAGGAACUUUUCGUGUUAUUUGAUAUUUCCCUGAAUUGUGGAUUCUCAAGGAUGAUAUAUAUUUGUGUUCCAGACAUUGUUCAGGAAGAGUAUGUGUUCAUCUCUUGUACUUUGUUUUUCCUGUUCCUAACUUUUCAGAACUGCUUGCCAAAACAAUCUUUUUCCCCCCCUCUUCCAAACAGCAGAGAAUAAAAUUGGCAUUUCCCCCA
rnacentral:lncRNA from 1 species